GGGUCGCUGAAGGAGAGAACCUCCUGGUUUGCUGGGUCUCCGGUCCCCAGACGCGGUGACGCGUGUGCACUGGGAAAGGACGGCCGCCGGGGUGGGUGUGUGGAAAGCUCACAGUGUUCUCAGAGCACAUAACGCGAGGCCAGAGCUGGCUACUGGGAGCACGCUGCAUCUUCAGGGGCCGCAGGUGGCAGCGGACAAGGCCCUGGAGCCCGCCUUCCCAGCUUGUCACUUGGCGGCCGGGUCCACACACCCCCAACUACCCUGGCUCCCGCUCGGUCUGCCCGGUGCGGGGGCGGAGAAGGGGCUCAGCGCGAAAGAGCGCGCCAGCCUCGGGGAAGCCCUGCCUCGCACAGCUGCCCUGGGGGUAGGCCCAGGCCUAGGACCGAGGGUCUUUCUGAAUGAUAGCUUCACCAGUUGCCUCUGCAUGAAUGACUCUAAUAUAAUAGGCAUUUCCAGCUCGACUCCUGGCUCAAUUACAGCCCAACACUCUCGAUCAAUUGUGACGUUCGCUGUGUGACUCCAGCAUAUCUGAAAAAUCAAAGAUCAAAAAUCUUCUGCUUCCUGUUCCUAUGUGUUCCCUCAAGCUCUCCCACAUUCUCAAAUGACCAGCUCCUCUUUUAAUUGAUUAUGUAGUUAAGUCCAGUCAACCCUUUGCUUCAGGUGAAUGAGCAUCCUUUCAUUAUCUGUUAACUCUGGGCAAUAAUUAAAAGAUAACUUACAUCUAUAUAGCACUUUAAUAUUUACAUGGUACUUCAGUUUUUAGUAUUUCAGAAAUUCUCAAAAAUUUUCUGACAUUAUGCUAAACAAAAAUAAAAGGCUUGCUUCUUCCCCAAAGUCACACAGCUUUAAGUGGCAAACAACUAAAUCUAGGUGAGGCCCGGCAUCUUUUUAGUUACUCCAUAUACACAAUAUAUAAAUAGUAUGCAAGGAAAACAGAAAUUUCUUCUAACAGUAA